GAGUUUGAUCCUGGCUCAGGAUGAACGCUGGCGGCGUGCCUAACACAUGCAAGUCGAACGAGAAGCUGACUUCUGAUUCCUUCGGGAUGAUGAGGUUAGCAGAAAGUGGCGAACGGGUGAGUAACGCGUGGGUAAUCUACCCUGUAAGUGGGGGAUAACCCUCCGAAAGGAGGGCUAAUACCGCAUAAUAUCUUUAUCCCAUAAGAGGUAAAGAUUAAAGAUGGCCUCUAUACUAUGCUAUCACUUCAGGAUGAGCCCGCGUCCUAUUAGUUAGUUGGUGGGGUAAUGGCCUACCAAGACUACAAUGGGUAGCCGGUCUGAGAGGAUGUACGGCCACACUGGGACUGAGAUACGGCCCAGACUCCUACGGGAGGCAGCAGUGGGGAAUAUUGCGCAAUGGGGGAAACCCUGACGCAGCGACGCCGCGUGGAUGAUGAAGGCCCUUGGGUCGUAAAGCACUUUCGCCAGAGAUGAUAAUGACAGUAUCUGGUAAAGAAACCCCGGCUAACUCCGUGCCAGCAGCCGCGGUAAUACGGAGGGGGUUAGCGUUGUUCGGAAUUACUGGGCGUAAAGCGCACGUAGGCGGAUUAGUAAGUUAGAGGUGAAAUCCCAGGGCUCAACCCUGGAACUGCCUUUAAUACUGCUAGUCUUGAGUUCGAGAGAGGUAAGUGGAAUUCCGAGUGUAGAGGUGAAAUUCGUAGAUAUUCGGAGGAACACCAGUGGCGAAGGCGGCUUACUGGCUCGAUACUGACGCUGAGGUGCGAAAGUGUGGGAAGCAAACAGGAUUAGAUACCCUGGUAGUCCACACCGUAAACGAUGAAUGCCAGACGUCAGCAAGUAUACUUGUUGGUGUCACACCUAACGGAUUAAGCAUUCCGCCUGGGGAGUACGGUCGCAAGAUUAAAACUCAAAGGAAUUGACGGGGGCCCGCACAAGCGGUGGAGCAUGUGGUUUAAUUCGACGCAACGCGAAGAACCUUACCGGGACUUGACAUUAUCUUGCCCGUCUAAGAAAUUAGAUCUUCUUCCUUUCGGGGAAGACAGGAUAACAGGUGGUGCAUGGUUGUCGUCAGCUCGUGUCGUGAGAUGUUGGGUUAAGUCCCACAACGAGCGCA
rnacentral:rRNA from 1 species